CGCAUCUUGCGCUCCUUGGUAUUCCUUGGAGCAUGUCUGUCUGAGUGUCAUGAAAACUCUCAACCCUACGGUUUUGCUAACGCGAUUCUGUUGGAUUGGAUCCUGGGCGUUUGCAGGACCUGUGCGCCUGCUCGCUUCAAAUGUAUCAGCGGUCUCUGCACCUAAUUGCGGUUUGACCGGGCGUCAUAGACAAUUUCGCCUGGGAUUGGUGGAUUACCCCGUUAAAAAGGGUGUCUGCUAGCCGUUACUGGAGCCCCGAUUGCUUCUAACAUCCAAUGACAUGUCACCUUUCUAUUUAGGCCUCAGAUCAGGCAGGACUACCCGCUGAACUUAA
rnacentral:misc_RNA from 1 species